rnacentral:rRNA from 1 species
GCUCAGGAUGAACGCUGGCGGCGUGCUUAACACAUGCAAGUCGAGCGAAGCGAUUUAAAUGAGACUUCGGUGGAUUUUAAAUUGACUGAGCGGCGGACGGGUGAGUAACGCGUGGAUAACCUGCCUCACACAGGGGGAUAACAGUUAGAAAUGACUGCUAAUACCGCAUAAGCGCACGGUACCGCAUGGUACAGUGUGAAAAACUCCGGUGGUGUGAGAUGGAUCCGCGUCUGAUUAGGUAGUUGGUGAGGUAACGGCCCACCAAGCCGACGAUCAGUAGCCGACCUGAGAGGGUGACCGGCCACAUUGGGACUGAGACACGGCCCAAACUCCUACGGGAGGCAGCAGUA